CACGUAGGGACCGAGCGUUGUCCGGAUUCAUUGGGCGUAAAGGGUGCGUAGGCGGCGCGGUAAGUCGGGUGUGAAAUCUUGGAGCUUAACUCCGAAACUGCAUUCGAUACUGCCGUGCUUGAGGACUGGAGAGGAGACUGGAAUUUACGGUGUAGCGGUGAAAUGCGUAGAUAUCGUAAGGAAGACCAGUGGCGAAGGCGGGUCUCUGGACAGUUCCUGACGCUGAGGCACGAAGGCCAGGGGAGCAAACGGG
rnacentral:rRNA from 1 species